rnacentral:hammerhead_ribozyme from 1 species
AUCCUGCUGAAGAGUCCCAAAUAAGACGAAACUCGCCUCCUGGAU